CGCCUGGGGAGUACGAUCGCAAAGAUUAAAACUCAAAGGAAUUGACGGGGCCCCGCACAAGCAACGGAGCAUGCGGCUUAAUUCGACGCAACGCGAAGAACCUUACCAAGGCUUGACAUAUAGGGAAAAGCGGCAGAGAUGUCGUGUCCGCAAGGGCUCUAUACAGGUGGUGCAUGGUUGUCGUCAGCUCGUGUCGUGAGAUGUUGGGUUAAGUCCCGCAACGAGCGCAACCCUCGUUCUGUGUUGCCAGCAUUUAGUUGGGGACUCACAGGAGACUGCCGGGGUUAACUCGGAGGAAGGUGGGGAUGACGUCAAAUCAUCAUGCCCCUUAUGUCUUGGGCUGCACGCAUGCUACAAUGGCCGAUACAAAGGGCCGCAAUACCGCAAGGUGGGGCGAAUCCCAAAAAGUCGGUCUCAGUUCGGAUUGAGGUCUGCAACUCGACCUCAUGAAGUCGGAGUUGCUAGUAAUCGUAGAUCAGCAACGCUACGGUGAAUACGUUCCCGGGGCUUGUACACACCGCCCGUCACGU
rnacentral:rRNA from 1 species